rnacentral:rRNA from 1 species
ACGUAGGUGGCGAGCGUUGUCCGGAAUCAUUGGGCGUAAAGAGCGCGUAGGUGGUUUGUCAGGUCUGAUGUGAAAUCCUGGGGCUCAACUCCAGAACUGCAUCGGAAACCGGCUUACUAGAGUCUGGGAGAGGAGAGUGGAAUUCCUGGUGUAGCGGUGAAAUGCGUAGAUAUCAGGAGGAACACCAGUAGCGAAGGCGGCUCUCUGGAACAGUACUGACGCUGAGGCGCGAAAGCUAGGGGAGCGAACAGGAUUAGAUACCCUGGUAGUCCUAGCCGUAAACGAUGGACACUAGGUGUCGGGGGUGUCGACUCCCCCGGUGCCGAAGCUAACGCAUUAAGUGUCCCGCCUGGGGAGUACGACCGCAAGGUUA